rnacentral:tRNA from 1 species
GCCCUCGUAGCCCAAUUGGCAGAGGCAGCCGACUUAAAAUCGGCACAGUGCGGGUUCGAGUCCCGCCGGGGGCA